GGAGGUAGUGACAAUAAAUCUCAAUACGAAGCCUUUGGUUUUGUAAUUGAAUUGAGAACAAUGUACAAUCGUUAUCGAUAAACAAUUGGAGGGCAAGUCUGGUGCCAGCAGCCGCGGUAAUUCCAGCUCCAAUAGCGUAUAUUAACGUUGUUGCAGUUAAAAAGCUCGUAGUUGAAGUGAAGGGAGUAUGUGGAGUGGAGUUCCUUCGGGAAGUUGCGCUUCAUAAGACUUUCGACAUCCAGGUGAGGUGUAAUAUUUCUUUCGGGGAGUGUUACAUAUUUCUUUUCAGACUGGUCAUUUACUGUGAGAAAAUUAGAGUGUUUAAAGCAGGCUUUAUUAUAUUGUAGCUUGAAUAGAUUAGCAUGGAAUAAUAACAUUGGCUUUCAUAGUCGAUUUGCUGUUGGUUUGUUUAUGAAAGCAAGAUUAAUAGGGACAGUUGGGGGUAUUCAUAUUCAAUAGCUAGAGGUGAAAUUCUAUGAUUUAUGGAAGAUGAACAAGUGCGAAAGCA
rnacentral:rRNA from 1 species